rnacentral:rRNA from 1 species
GACGAACGCUGUCGGCGUGCUUAACACAUGCAAGUCGAACGGAAAGGCCCUGCUUUUGUGGGGUGCUCGAGUGGCGAACGGGUGAGUAACACGUGAGUAACCUGCCCUUGACUUUGGGAUAACUUCAGGAAACUGGGGCUAAUACCGGAUAGGAGCUCCUGCUGCAUGGUGGGGGUUGGAAAGUUUCGGCGGCUGGGGAUGGACUCGCGGCUUAUCAGCUUGUUGGUGGGGUAGUGGCUUACCAAGGCUUUGACGGGUAGCCGGCCUGAGAGGGUGACCGGCCACAUUGGGACUGAGAUACGGCCCAGACUCCUACGGGAGGCAGCAGUGGGGAAUAUUGCACAAUGGGCGGAAGCCUGAUGCAGCAACGCCGCGUGCGGGAUGACGGCCUUCGGGUUGUAAACCGCUUUCGCCUGUGACGAAGCGUGAGUGACGGUAAUGGGUAAAGAAGCACCGGCUAACUACGUGCCAGCAGCCGCGGUGAUACGUAGGGUGCGAGCGUUGUCCGGAUUUAUUGGGCGUAAAGGGCUCGUAGGUGGUUGAUCGCGUCGGAAGUGUAAUCUUGGGGCUUAACCCUGAGCGUGCUUUCGAUACGGGUUGACUUGAGGAAGGUAGGGGAGAAUGGAAUUCCUGGUGGAGCGGUGGAAUGCGCAGAUAUCAGGAGGAACACCAGUGGCGAAGGCGGUUCUCUGGGCCUUUCCUGACGCUGAGGAGCGAAAGCGUGGGGAGCGAACAGGCUUAGAUACCCUGGUAGUCCACGCUGUAAACGGUGGGUACUAGGUGUGGGGUCCAUUCCACGGGUUCCGUGCCGUAGCUAACGCUUUAAGUACCCCGCCUGGGGAGUACGGCCGCAAGGCUAAAACUCAAAGGAAUCGACGGGGCCCCGCACAAGCGGCGGAGCAUGCGGAUUAAUUCGAUGCAACGCGUAGAACCUUACCUGGGUUUGACAUGGAUCGGGAGUGCUCAGAGAUGGGUGUGCCUCUUUUGGGGUCGGUUCACAGGUGGUGCAUGCCUGUCGUCAGCUCGUGUCGUGAGAUGUUGGGUUAAGUCCCGCAACGAGCGCAACCCUUGUUCACUGUUGCCAGCACGUUAUGGUGGGGACUCAGUGGAGACCGCCGGGGUCAACUCGGAGGAAGGUGGGGAUGACGUCAAGUCCUCAUGCCCCUUAUGUCCAGGGCUUCACGCAUGCUACAAUGGCUGGUACAGAGAGUGGCGAGCCUGUGAGGGUGAGCGAAUCUCGGAAAGCCGGUCUCAGUUCGGAUUGGGGUCUGCAACUCGACCUCAUGAAGUCGGAGUCGCUAGUAAUCGCAGAUCUGCAACGCUGCGGUGAAUACGUUCCCGGG